rnacentral:snRNA from 1 species
CUGACAGGCACACAUACAAAAACUGGAAUGAUACAGAGAUUAGCGCGGCCCCUGCGCACGGACGACAUGCAAAUUCAUGAAGUGAAUGUUCUGAUA